rnacentral:rRNA from 1 species
AUUCCAGCUCCAAUAGCGAAUAUUAAAGUUGUUGCAGUUAAAAAGCUCGUAGUCGGAUUUCGGGGCGGGCCGGGCGGUCUGCCGAUGGGUAUGCACUGUUUGGCGCGUCCUUCUUUCCGGAGACCGCGCCUACUCUUAGCUGAGCGGGCGUGGGAGACGGAUCGUUUACUUUGAAAAAAUCAGAGUGUUUCAAGCAGGCAGCUCGCUCUUGCAUGGAUUAGCAUGGGAUAAUGAAAUAGGACUCUGGUGCUAUUUUGUUGGUUUCGAACACCGGAGUAAUGAUUAACAGGGACAGUCAGGGGCACUCGUAUUCCGUCGAGAGAGGUGAAAUUCUCAGACCAAUGGAAGACGAACCACUGCGAAAGCAUUUGCCAGGGAUGUUUUCAUCA